UACGUAGGGUGCGAGCGUUGUCCGGAAUUACUGGGCGUAAAGAGCUCGUAGGUGGUUUGUCGCGUUGUUCGUGAAAACUCACAGCUCAACUGUGGGCGAUGCGGGCGAUACGGGCAGACUGGAGUACUGCAGGGGAGACUGGAAUUCCGUGGUGUAGCCGGUGGAAUGCGCAGGAUAUCAGGAGGAACGACCGGUGGCGAAGGCGGUUGCCUGGGGCUUUGCUGACGCUGAUGCGCGAAAGCGUGGGGAGCGAUCCGG
rnacentral:rRNA from 1 species